rnacentral:lncRNA from 1 species
AUGCUUUUGAACUGUGGUGCUGAACUCUUGAGAGUCCCUUGGACUGCAAGGAGAUCCAACCAGUCCAUCCUAAAGGAGAUCAGCCCUGGGUGUUCAUUGGAAGGACUGAUGCUGAAGCUGAAGCUCCAGUACUUUGGCCACCUGAUGCGAAGUUCUGACUCAUUGAAAAAGACCCUGUUGCUGGGCAAGAUUGAGGGCAAGAGGAGAAGGGGACAACAGAGGAUGAGAUGGCUGGAUGGCAGCACUGACUCAGUGGACAUGAAUUUAAGCAAAUGUAAGGAGAUGAUGAAGGACAGGGAAGCCUGGUGUGCUGCAAUUCAUGGGGUUGCAGAGUCGGACACGACUUGGCAGCUGAAAAACAACAACAGACCUCAAGAAGAUGUGACAUGCUCUCUCACCUCCCAACUGCUUUCUCAACUCUCUCCACCCAGCAGAGAAUUAUGGGGUAAGAAGGGGAAUGAGGAGACAAACAAGCUGCUAUACAAAUCUAACAGAUUAAUGAAAGAAGCCAAGCGUCCUAUUUAGAAGGAUGCUGCCAGCAGCCAGGGCAAGAAGCCGAGGGUGGCCAUCAACGC